UCGGAGAGAAUGGGGAUCAAGAUCUUACUGUUCUUGAUGGCCGCCAAAAGAUCUGGGCCGAUCUUCUCGCCCUGGCGGAGCUCCACAUCGUCCCUGAAAGGGUGAGUUUUGGCAAAGCAGAGCCUAUUGUAGAGGUGACCGGCGAAGCCAUUUCGAGUAUCUGGGCCCCUAAAGCUCAAGAAAAUAUCGUAGCUCUUUUCUGUCGGAAUUGAACCAGAUCCACCGGAAUUAGUUCCCAUCGGGGUAGUCGACGAAGCAGAUGUGUCAGUAUUAGGAUCUUCCGCAUCUCCACGCACGCUAGCUUUCUUCUUGUUGAGAAAAUAGAACGCGAUCCCAGGGAGAAGGAUCAAGGCCACGACC